GUGAAAACAACAUGAACAGUUUCAGGUUCUGCAAUGUGCCAUCUACAAUAAUCUGAAGCAUGAAUUCUAAAUGUCCUAAAAAUGAACACAUAACUGCACCUUCUUGAAAGCAGACAAGUAACAUCCUUCCUUACUCCUGAAUCAGCCUCAGAGACGGCCUUAAUGGUGCAUAACAAGGAGACACCGAAAGGCACAUUGAGCCAGACUCUGAUAAACUCUGAAGAAACUGGAGGGUAUAGAGACGAAGAUCUGGAGCUUCAGCUGUUCAUGCCUUGGGUGAGCCAUGAACUGCUUCCCAUAGGGAAGCAUUGUUCAGUAAAUGAUUGACAUCACAGGAGCCUUACCAGGACAACAACAAGAUAGUGAAUAGUGCCCACCUGGUGGGGCGCCCACUAUUCUGUAAAAUCACAGCCAAAUACUAUACUACAGUUUACAAUGUAAGUUAUAAAAUAAUCUUUUGUGUGUGUGUGUGUUGAGAUAAAUUAAAUGGAUGUAAAUUGACUAAAAUAGAGUUGGUGGAUGACAAAAGAGCUAUAAAGAUAAGUACAUUCCCUAUGUGCUGUAUAAAGUAGGUUUGGGGAAAAUGUGCUCUUAAAGAAGUUUUUGCAUAGAAUCUUUCUACUAACUAGCUGAUGACAUAAAUCAAUUUUAAAGACAUGACCAAUAUGAUCCCAACCUGUAAUUACCACCAGUAAAUGAAUAGGCUUGGCAGGGAGGGAAGGAAUUAGGAUGCAGAUCAAUCUAUUGUUUAGCUUUCCGUUUUCUGUAGGCCCUCACUUUUGGACACGUUGUCAGA
rnacentral:lncRNA from 1 species